rnacentral:misc_RNA from 1 species
AAGUCGUAACAAGGUUUCCGUAGGUGAACCUGCGGAAGGAUCAUUAAAGAAUUUGAAUGAGAUGCAAAAUGGAUUUCAUGGGAUUUGUGGGGGGUCUUUGUCCUUCAUAUUUCCUUGAAUUCAUUGCAUUUCUUUAAUAUUCAUACUCACACUAACAUGGGAAACUGUGUUAUGUGUUUUAUUAUUUAGAAUCAUUUUUUUGUAUAACAUUAGUCUUUUUAUCUUUUAUUUUAAUUCGAGUUGUUUCACAACUUGAUUAAAUUAAAUAAAAAACAAUUUAACAACUUUCAGCAACGGAUCUCUUGGCUCUC